rnacentral:pre_miRNA from 1 species
AAAAAAGUAAAUCUUAUAUUUUCGUGUCCAAUUUUGAGUGUCCGUCUUAUAUAAAUUUUUUUUAUAAUUAGCAUUUUCAUUAUUGUUAGAUGAUAAAACAUGAUUAAUGUUUUAUGCGCGACUUGUCUUUUUAAUUUUUUUCAUAAUUUUUUCAAAUAAGACGCACGGAAACCAGGGUUUGUCUUUUU